CGGAAGCGCCCAGCCCCGGCCAUGGCGCGGCGCGUCGUGAGGGGGCUGCUGCUGCUGGAGGCGGCGGGGCUGCUGGGCGCCCUCCUGCUCUACCGCGCCAUGGACCGCAGCCAAGAUUUCAGAUACACAAUGCAGAAGAGGUUUCCAUCAAUUCUGGAAGUUUAUUACAAAUCCAAUGAGUGGUCUGGAAUUCAUGGCAUAAGGGAGAAUGACCAAAUGGCAUGGUUAAGCAGCAAGAACUGAACCCUCUGUGCCUGAACUGUUUCUUCUUUUUGAUGAUGCUUUUCACAUCCCUGUUGUGAAGCCACU